rnacentral:rRNA from 1 species
AGAGUUUGAUCAUGGCUCAGAUUGAACGCUGGCGGCAGGCCUAACACAUGCAAGUCGAGCGGUAGCACAGAGAGCUUGCUCUCGGGUGACGAGCGGCGGACGGGUGAGUAAUGUCUGGGAAACUGCCUGAUGGAGGGGGAUAACUACUGGAAACGGUAGCUAAUACCGCAUAACGUCGCAAGACCAAAGUGGGGGACCUUCGGGCCUCAUGCCAUCAGAUGUGCCCAGAUGGGAUUAGCUAGUAGGUGGGGUAACGGCUCACCUAGGCGACGAUCCCUAGCUGGUCUGAGAGGAUGACCAGCCACACUGGAACUGAGACACGGUCCAGACUCCUACGGGAGGCAGCAGUGGGGAAUAUUGCACAAUGGGCGCAAGCCUGAUGCAGCCAUGCCGCGUGUGUGAAGAAGGCCUUCGGGUUGUAAAGCACUUUCAGCGGGGAGGAAGGCGAUAAGGUUAAUAACCUUGGCGAUUGACGUUACCCGCAGAAGAAGCACCGGCUAACUCCGUGCCAGCAGCCGCGGUAAUACGGAGGGUGCAAGCGUUAAUCGGAAUUACUGGGCGUAAAGCGCACGCAGGCGGUCUGUCAAGUCGGAUGUGAAAUCCCCGGGCUCAACCUGGGAACUGCAUUCGAAACUGGCAGGCUAGAGUCUUGUAGAGGGGGGUAGAAUUCCAGGUGUAGCGGUGAAAUGCGUAGAGAUCUGGAGGAAUACCGGUGGCGAAGGCGGCCCCCUGGACAAAGACUGACGCUCAGGUGCGAAAGCGUGGGGAGCAAACAGGAUUAGAUACCCUGGUAGUCCACGCCGUAAACGAUGUCGAUUUGGAGGUUGUGCCCUUGAGGCGUGGCUUCCGGAGCUAACGCGUUAAAUCGACCGCCUGGGGAGUACGGCCGCAAGGUUAAAACUCAAAUGAAUUGACGGGGGCCCGCACAAGCGGUGGAGCAUGUGGUUUAAUUCGAUGCAACGCGAAGAACCUUACCUGGUCUUGACAUCCACAGAACUUAGCAGAGAUGCUUUGGUGCCUUCGGGAACUGUGAGACAGGUGCUGCAUGGCUGUCGUCAGCUCGUGUUGUGAAAUGUUGGGUUAAGUCCCGCAACGAGCGCAACCCUUAUCCUUUGUUGCCAGCGGUCCGGCCGGGAACUCAAAGGAGACUGCCAGUGAUAAACUGGAGGAAGGUGGGGAUGACGUCAAGUCAUCAUGGCCCUUACGACCAGGGCUACACACGUGCUACAAUGGCAUAUACAAAGAGAAGCGACCUCGCGAGAGCAAGCGGACCUCAUAAAGUAUGUCGUAGUCCGGAUUGGAGUCUGCAACUCGACUCCAUGAAGUCGGAAUCGCUAGUAAUCGUAGAUCAGAAUGCUACGGUGAAUACGUUCCCGGGCCUUGUACACACCGCCCGUCACACCAUGGGAGUGGGUUGCAAAAGAAGUAGGUAGCUUAACCUUCGGGAGGGCGCUUACCACUUUGUGAUUCAUGACUGGGGUGAAGUCGUAACAAGGUAACCGUAGGGGAACCUGCGGUUGGAUCACCU